UAAUACAGAGGCCACAAGCGUUAGUCGGAAUCACUGGGCUUAAAGGGUGCGUAGGCGGGCUCGCAAGCGUCUUGUGAAAUCCCAUGGCUCAACCAUGGAAUUGCAGGGCGAACUGCGAGUCUUGAGGCAGGUAGGGGCCGGAAGAACAGUAGGUGGAGCGGUGAAAUGCGUAGAUAUCUACUGGAAUGCCGAUGGGGAAGCCGUCCGGCUGGGCCUGUCCUGACGCUGAGGCACGAAAGCGUGGGGAGCAAACAGG
rnacentral:rRNA from 1 species